rnacentral:rRNA from 1 species
GAUCAUUAUUAAAAGACUU